GGAUUUUUAUAUACAGAAAUGUGAAGUUUAGAAAUAGAGCGAUUAUGUCUGUAUAUCAAGCAUCGGUAUAAAUGUUUCUUCUUCUGUUUUUGUGUUAAGGUUCCAUUUUAGGCACCAUUGACAAGGAUGUACUAAAGCUACUGUGUGACGAUUUGCAGACACGUUCUGAGAACCUCAUUUCUGAGCUGAAAAGAGCUGUGGAAGUCAUGAAGUCUGAGCCUAGUACCUUUCACCAGUUUACAGUUUUUUCAAACACGGUACAGCACAGUGAGAGGAUGUUAGGUGAUAUACAGCAGAGGCUGGAAGAUCUCCACUCUCUACAGGAGACUGUGAGAAGGAAUUAUACACACAUGGAUCCAAAUGACAUUCUUUCAUUGAAGCAGGUACAUGUGAUGUGAAAACGUGGUCAUUGAUUUCUGUUGCAAAUUCAGUCAAAGUCUAAAAGACAACUAUUACUGCAGGUAGUUGACUUGUGGGAUCAGUUUGUUCAGCUCCUGAAACCAGCUGCAGACAUAG
rnacentral:lncRNA from 1 species